UUCCUUUCCUCUGUUGGGCUUCAACCGAAAUCCGACUCUGGGCUUCGACGUCGCGUUGUUUCUGCCAGCCCAUUAGCUCAAGACAAUGCUCUCAUCACUUUUCUCUUACCGCGAUGUAGAAACCCUAAUCGCCGUUUGCGAUUGUCGAUUCAUGAUCGUGUUCAUCCUCCUCUUUCUUCUGCCUUUACGCUCUUUAAUCUGUCAUUAAACCCAUUAAUGAGAUCUUUUGGCUUCCUCUUUCUGUUCUUCUAUAAAACCUCUCGAUGUUGCUUCUACAUCAAAGUUGCUAUUACCCUCUCGAUUAUCUAUAGCGAUGAAGCUUACCCGACUCAGAGAACUCGAAAUGCGAAGCGGCGGGCCGAUGUUCAAUCCGGUGUUUCUUCCGGCGUUGUUCCCUCCAUGAAGGCAACGAACCCAGCGGUUGUCUCAUCCGGUUCGGUCAACCCAGUCGUCCACCCCGGUAUCUCUUCCGGCGAUGUUAACUCAGUGAAGUCUAAAAAAGGUGCGGCGGUCUCCUCCGGUCGAGGCAAACCAAACGUCCAAACCGGCGCUUCUUCCGGCGUCAGAAGUCAAAGAAAUGCGAGAGGUCAUAUGUCAUGGGUUAGAUCACUUGAGAGAGGAAGGUCCACAGACUAUGACGAGAAGGUUGGAGACCGUUAAAGUUUUGCGUCCUUUAGGCUUACUUCUGUUAGAUACCCAGGUUAUGACGACCUCGACCUUUUUUAAUUCUAUAUUCAUUUUCUUGGUGUGAUUUGUACACUAUCUUUUAUGUGCUUUGGCAGGAGAGGUUAACCGAAUUGGUUCAACUUUAUGAUCCAGCUGCUGCCAGAUCUUCGUUGGUGUGAAGGAUAUGAAUAAGAGCCUUUUAAAAUUAACAGAUUGCAAGGGAGGCUGCUCUAUCUUCUCAGGUUCAUUUCUUGGAGCAGAGGGUGCAGAUGCUUGAAGAGGAGACUGAGACUCAGAAGAAACUAAACGCUCAGCUAGAAGAUUAAGAGCUUGACCACGAGCAGUGAUCCAUAAAGGCAGGAUUGACUUUGCGCUCCAUCUUGAAGGAGGCAU